AAAAAUAAGAAUUUUUAAAGAAAUAUUAAAAGGAUCACAAAUAUCACUCAAAUACAUCUCAAUUCAAUCUUAAUUUAAUUCUAGUUAAAAACCUAUUGAACUUCAUUCAAACUUUAGGCCAAAACUAAUUGAAUCUUAAAUCCUAAUAAAAUCUUAAACCUUGAAUCAAAUCCUAAAUAAACCUUAAAUAAAACCCCAACCAAAUCCUAAACCAAAUCCUAACCAAAUCCUAAACCAAAUCCUAAAUCCUAAAUCAAACCUUAAUAAAAUCUUAAUCUAAAUCCUAAAUCCUAAACCAAAUCUUAAUCCAAACCCUAAAUCCUAAAACCUAAAUCCUAAAUCAAAUCCUAAUCAAAUACUAAAUCCUAAACCAAAUCCUAAUCCAAACCCUAAAUCCUAAAUUAAACCCUAAUCCAAAUCCUAAAUCCAAAAUCAAAUCCUAACUAAAUCCUAAAUCAAAUCCUAACUAAAUCCUAAAUCAAACCCUAACAAAACUCUAAAUCUUACAUCAAAUCCUAAUCAAAUCCUAAACCAAAU
rnacentral:lncRNA from 1 species